rnacentral:rRNA from 1 species
AAGUCGAACGCGCAAAGUCCCCUUCGGGGGACAAGUAGAGUGGCGUCCGGGUGAGUAACACGUAGGUAAUCUACCUUCGGGUGGGGAAUAACGCAGGGAAACUUGCGCUAAUACCGCAUAAUGCAGCGGCACCACAUGGUGACAGUUGUUAAAGCGGGGGAUUUUCGAACCUCGCGCCUGAAGAGGAGCCUGCGGCAGAUUAGCUAGUUGGUAAGGUAAUGGCUUACCAAGGCGACGAUCUGUAACCGGCCUGAGAGGGCGGUCGGUCACACUGACACUGACAUACGGGUCAGACUCCUACGGGAGGCAGCAGUCGGGAAUUUUGGGCAAUGGGCGAAAGCCUGACCCAGCAACGCCGCGUGAAGGAUGAAAUCCUUCGGGAUGUAAACUUCGCAAGAAUGGGAAGAACGAGUAGGGGCUAAUACUCCCUAUGAUGACGGUACCAUUUGUAAGCUCCGGCUAACUCCGUGCCAGCAGCCGCGGUAAUACGGGGGGAGCAAGCGUUGUUCGGAUUUACUGGGCGUAAAGGGCGCGUAGGCGGCCAGCGCAAGUCAGUUGUGAAAUCUCCGGGCUUAACUCGGAACGGUCAACUGAUACUGCGCGGCUAGAGUGCGGAAGGGGCAACUGGAAUUCUCGGUGUAGCGGUGAAAUGCGUAGAUAUCGAGAGGAACACCUGCGGCGAAGGCGGGUUGCUGGGCCGACACUGACGCUGAUGCGCGAAAGCCAGGGGAGCGAACGGGAUUAGAUACCCCGGUAGUCCUGGCCUUAAACGAUGGAUGCUUGGUGUCU